rnacentral:rRNA from 1 species
UUAGGAAUCUUGGACAAUGGGCGCAAGCCUGAUCCAGCCAUGCCGCGUGAGUGAUGAAGGCCUUAGGGUUGUAAAGCUCUUUCAGCGGGGAAGAUAAUGACGGUACCCGCAGAAGAAGCCCCGGCUAACUUCGUGCCAGCAGCCGCGGUAAUACGAAGGGGGCUAGCGUUGCUCGGAAUCACUGGGCGUAAAGCGCACGUAGGCGGGUCUUUAAGUCAGGGGUGAAAUCCUGGAGCUCAACUCCAGAACUGCCUUUGAUACUGAGGAUCUCGAGUCCGGGAGAGGUGAGUGGAACUCCGAGUGUAGAGGUGAAAUUCGUAGAUAUUCGGAAGAACACCAGUGGCGAAGGCGGCUCACUGGCCCGGUACUGACGCUGAUGUGCGGAAGCGUGGGGAGCAAACAGGAUUAGAUACCCUGGUAGUCCACGCCGUAAACGAUGGAUGCUAGCCGUUGGCGGGUUUACUCGUCAGUGGCGCAGCUAACGCAUUAAGCAUCCCGCCUGGGGAGUACGGUCGCAAGAUUA